rnacentral:ribozyme from 1 species
UCUUUCUUCUCCACUUUUUCUUCAUUAAAAAAAAAAGAAAAAAACGCAAUCACUCAGAUGAUAAUAUUACUAACUACGAUGAUGUUUUGAUAGCUAAACUAUUUUUUGCAAGGAGGGGGGGGGGGUAUUGAAUGUCUUUUACUGACUACCCAACCCAGAUGACAACGACUGACAGCGAAGGAAGAAAUUAUCGUGAUUAUUUUUG